rnacentral:rRNA from 1 species
UACGUAGGUGGCAAGCGUUGUCCGGAUUUACUGGGCGUAAAGGGCUCGUAGGCGGCCAACUAAGUCGGACGUGAAAUCCCUCGGCUCAACCGGGGAACUGCGUCCGAUACUGGAUGGCUUGAGUUCGGGAGAGGGAUGCGGAAUUCCAGGUGUAGCGGUGAAAUGCGUAGAUAUCUGGAGGAACACCGGUGGCGAAGGCGGCAUCCUGGACCGACACUGACGCUGAGGAGCGAAAGCCAGGGGAGCAAACGGG